rnacentral:rRNA from 1 species
AACUGAGGAUAAUACCGGAUAGGCAAUUUUUCCUGUAAUGGUUUUUUGUUUAAAUGUUUUUUCGCCUAAGGAUGGGUCUGCGGCCGAUUAGGUAGUUGGUUAGGUAAUGGCUUACCAAGCCGUUGAUCGGUACGGGUUGUGAGAGCAAGAGCCCGGAGAUGGAACCUGAGACAAGGUUCCAGGCCCUACGGGGUGCAGCAGGCACGAAACCUCCGCAAUGUGAGAAAUCGCGACGGGGGGAUCCCAAGUGCCAUUCUUAACGGGAUGGCUUUUCAUUAGUGUAAAGAGCUUUUGGAAUAAGAGCUGGGCAAGACCGGUGCCAGCCGCCGCGGUAACACCGGCAGCUCUAGUGGUAGCAGUUUUUAUUGGGCCUAAAGCGUCCGUAGCCGGUUUAAUAAGUCUCUGGUGAAAUCCUGUAGCUUAACUGUGGGAAUUGCUGGAGAUACUAUUAGGCUUGAGAUCGGGAGAGGUUAGAGGUACUCCCAGGGUAGAGGUGAAAUUCUGUAAUCCUG